rnacentral:rRNA from 1 species
AGAGUUUGAUCCUGGCUCAGAACGAACGCUGGCGGCGUGCUUAACACAUGCAAGUCGAACGAGAAAGCUUCCUUCGGGAAGUAAGUAGAGUGGCGCACGGGUGAGUAACGCGUAGGUAAUCUACCCUUAUAACUGGGAUAACAUUGGGAAACUGGUGCUAAUACCGGAUACACUUCUUUACUGCGGGGUAAAGGAGGAAAGGUGGCCUCUUCAUGAAAGCUACCGUAUAGGGAUGAGCCUGCGUACCAUUAGCUAGUAGGCGGGGUAACGGCCCACCUAGGCAACGAUUGUUAGCGGGUCUGAGAGGGUGAUCCGCCACACUGGAACUGGAACACGGACCAGACUCCUACGGGAGGCAGCAGUGAGGAAUAUUGCGCAAUGGGGGAAACCCUGACGCAGCGACGCCGCGUGAGUGAGGAAGGUUUUCGGAUCGUAAAGCUCUGUCAGAAGGGAAGAAGUGUUAUAUGCUUAAUACGCAUAUAAUUUGACGGUACCUUCAGAGGAAGCACCGGCUAACUCCGUGCCAGCAGCCGCGGUAAUACGGAGGGUGCAAGCGUUGUUCGGAGUUACUGGGCGUAAAGGGCGCGUAGGCGGCUGGAUAAGUCAGAUGUGAAAGUCCAUGGCUCAACUGUGGAAGUGCAUUUGAAACUGUCCGGCUUGAGUAUCGGAGGGGAGUGUGGAAUUCCCGGUGUAGAGGUGAAAUUCGUAGAGAUCGGGAGGAACACCGGUGGCGAAGGCGACACUCUGGACGAAUACUGACGCUGAGGCGCGAAAGCGUGGGGAGCAAACAGGAUUGGAUACCCUGGUAGUCCACGCCGUAAACGAUGUGAACUAGGGAUAGGGGGUGUUGAUCCCUCCUGUCCCGCAGCUAACGCAUUAAGUUCACCGCCUGGGGAGUACGGUCGCAAGAUUAAAACUCAAAGGAAUUGACGGGGGCCCGCACAAGCGGUGGAGUAUGUGGUUUAAUUCGACGCAACGCGAAGAACCUUACCUGGGCUUGACAUCCCGAGAAUCUCCUGGAAACAGGAGAGUGCGUCAUUAGAUGAACUUGGUGACAGGUGCUGCAUGGCUGUCGUCAGCUCGUGUCGUGAGAUGUUGGGUUAAGUCCCGCAACGAGCGCAACCCCUGCCUUUAGUUGCCAGCAGUUCGGCUGGGCACUCUAGAGGGACUGCCGGUGUCAAACCGGAGGAAGGUGGGGAUGACGUCAAGUCCUCAUGGCCUUUAUGCCCAGGGCUACACACG